rnacentral:rRNA from 1 species
ACAGCAGUAGCCGCGGGAAUACGAAGGGUGCAAGCGUUACUCGGAAUUACUGGGCGUAAAGCGUGCGUAGGUGGUGGUUUAAGUCCGUUGUGUAAGCCCUGGGCUCAACCUGGGAAUUGCAGUGGAUACUGGGUCACUAGAGUGUGGUAGAGGAUAGUGGAAUUUCCGGUGUAGCAGUGAAAUGCGUAGAGAUCGGAAGGAACAUCUGUGGCGAAGGCGACUAUCUGGGCCAACACUGACACUGAGGCACGAAAGCGUGGGGAGCAAACAGGAUUAGAUACCCCUGUAGUCCCUGUCUCUUAUAC